rnacentral:ncRNA from 1 species
AAAAAGUUUUAUUUUGGCUUGAGGAUUAAGUUUAAUUUCUAUUUAUAUAUGAAUUUUGGUGUGAGUGAUUUAAAGUUUUAAAUAGGCUUUAAAAUUUAGUAUUAGUAGUAAAUAAUUUUAACUAUUAAGGAUAUUUAGAGUUAGGGAUAAUUAAUAAUAUUAACAAAAUUUGUGCCAGCAGUUGCGGUUACACAAAUAAUAUAAUUUAAUUUUAUUAGUUUUAAUAAAUAUUAAGCAUUGAAUUAAUUUUAAGUUAGAAUUUAUUAGGUGAAAUUUUAAGUUUUAUUAUAGAUUAAUUGCAAUUUAUGAAUUUAGGAAAUUUUAAUUUUAAACUAGGAUUAGAUACCCUAUUAUUUUUAAUGUAAAAAAUUUAACUAGAUUAGUAUUAGUUAUGUUCUUGAAAAUAAAAAAAUUUGGCGGUAUUUUAGUCUAUUCAGAGGAAUCUGUCCUGUAAUUGAUAAUCCACGAUUAAUUUUACUUAUUUUUUAAAUUUGUAUAUCGUCGUAGGUUGAAUAUUUUUUUAGAAAGUUAAUGUUCAAGAGGUUUUAUUAAAAAUUAAAUCAGAUCAAGGUGCAGUAUAUAGAUAAGAAGAGAUGGAUUACAAUAAAUUUAUUUAAACGGAAAGAAUUUUUUAAAAGUUCUUGAAGGUGGAUUUGAAGGUAAUUUUUUUUAUAUAAAAAGAAUGAUUUUAGCUCUAAAAUAUGUACAUAUCGCCCGUCGCUUUCAUUAUAAAAUGAAAUAAGUCGUAACAAAGUAGGCCUACGGGAAUGUGGGCCUAGAAAGG